UACAGAGGGUGCAAGCGUUAUCCGGAUUUAUUGGGCGUAAAGCGUUUCGUAGGUGACCAGGUAAGUUAUCUUUCAAAGACCACGGCUCAACCGGGGGAAGGGAGGUAAUACUGCCUAGUUUGAUUUGUGGUGGGGCUUCUGGAACUGAUGGUGUAGUAGUGAAAUACGUUGAUAUCAUCAGGAACUCCGAGGGCGUAGGCAGGAAGCUAACCAUUUAAUGACACUGAGGAACGACAGCUAGGGGAGCGAAAGGG
rnacentral:rRNA from 1 species